AUACUUUUGUUGGGGGGGGGUCGGCUGGCGGCGCGUCUUAGAAUGCAAGUCGAACGGUAGAGUUCCUUCGGGGACUUGAGAGUGGCGAACGGGUGAGUAACACGUAGGUAAUCUAUCGUUAGGUUGGGGAUAGCCUGUGGAAACACAGGGUAAUACCGGAUGAGACCUUGAAGCUGUGGCUUUGAGGGGAAAGGCCCUGAGGGGUCGCCUGAUGAUGAGCCUGCGGUCCAUUAGCUAGUUGGCAGGGUAAGGGCCUACCAAGGCGACGAUGGAUAGCCGGCCUGAGAGGGUGUACGGCCACACUGGGACUGAGACACGGCCCAGACUCCUACGGGAGGCAGCAGCUAAGAAUCUUCCGCAAUGGGCGCAAGCCUGACGGAGCGACGCCGCGUGGACGAUGAAGGCCGGAAGGUUGUAAAGUCCUUUUCCUGGGGAGGAAUAAGGUGGGGAGGGAAUGCCCUACUGAUGACGUGAACCAGGGAAUAAGCCCCGGCUAAUUACGUGCCAGCAGCCGCGGUAACACGUAAGGGGCGAGCGUCGUUCGGAUUUAUUGGGCGUAAAGGGCGUGUAGGCGGUAGUGUAAGUCUGGUGUGAAAGGUCCCGGCUCAACCGGGAACGCGCGCUGGAAACUGUACUACUUGAGUUUAGGAGGGGGAGCUGGAAUUCCUGGUGUAGGGGUGAAAUCUGUAGAGAUCAGGAAGAACACCGGUGGCGAAGGCGAGCUCCUGGCCAUAGACUGACGCUGAGGCGCGAAAGCGUGGGGAGCGAACAGGAUUAGAUACCCUGGUAGUCCACGCUGUAAACGAUGUGCACUAGGUGUCGGGGCGUACGCUUCGGUGCCGGAGCUAACGCGUUAAGUGCACCGCCUGGGGGAGUAUGCUCGCAAGGGUG
rnacentral:rRNA from 1 species